GAUGAACGCUGGCGGCGCGCCUAACACAUGCAAGUCGAACGAUUAAAGCACCUUCGGGUGUGUAUAAAGUGGCGAACGGCUGAGUAACACGUGGGCAACCUGCCCCUCUCAUUGGGGUAGCCACGGGAAACCGUGGAUAAUACCGAAUACUUCGGGACUUCCGCAUGGAAGACUCGAGAAAGCUCCGGCGGAGAGGGAUGGGCCCGCGGCCUGUUAGCUUGUUGGUGGGGUAAUGGCCUACCAAGGCAAUGAUGGGUAGCUGGGUUGAGAGACCGACCAGCCAGAUUGGGACUGAGACACGGCCCAGACUCCUACGGGAGGCAGCAGUGGGGAAUCUUGCACAAUGGGCGAAAGCCUGAUGCAGCGACGCCGCGUGCGGGAUGAAGGCCUUCGGGUUGUAAACCGCUUUCAGCAGGGACGAGGCGAAAGUGACGGUACCUGCAGAAGAAGCCCCGGCUAACUACGUGCCAGCAGCCGCGGUAAUACGUAGGGGGCAAGCGUUAUCCGGAUUCAUUGGGCGUAAAGCGCUCGUAGGCGGUCUGUUAGGUCGGGAGUUAAAUCCGGGGGCUCAACCCCCGUUCGCUCCCGAUACCGGCAGACUUGAGUUUGGUAGGGGAAGGUGGAAUUCCUAGUGUAGCGGUGGAAUGCGCAGAUAUUAGGAAGAACACCAGUGGCGAAGGCGGCCUUCUGGGCCAUAACUGACGCUGAGGAGCGAAAGCUAGGGGAGCAAACAGG
rnacentral:rRNA from 1 species